rnacentral:rRNA from 1 species
CGAACGGGGAGGAGCCCAGAGCCUGAAUCAGUGUGUGUGUUAGUGGAAGCGUCUGGAAAGGCGCGCGAUACAGGGUGACAGCCCCGUACACAAAAAUGCACAUACUGUGAGCUCGAUGAGUAGGGCGGGACACGUGGUAUCCUGUCUGAAUAUGGGGGGACCAUCCUCCAAGGCUAAAUACUCCUGACUGACCGAUAGUGAACCAGUACCGUGAGGGAAAGGCGAAAAGAACCCCGGCGAGGGGAGUGAAAAAGAACCUGAAACCGUGUACGUACAAGCAGUGGGAGCCUCUUUUAUGGGGUGACUGCGUACCUUUUGUAUAAUGGGUCAGCGACUUAUAUUCUGUAGCAAGGUUAACCGAAUAGGGGAGCCGAAGGGAAACCGAGUCUUAACUGGGCGUUAAGUUGCAGGGUAUAGACCCGAAACCCGGUGAUCUAGCCAUGGGCAGGUUGAAGGUUGGGUAACACUAACUGGAGGACCGAACCGACUAAUGUUGAAAAAUUAGCGGAUGACUUGUGGCUGGGGGUGAAAGGCCAAUCAAACCGGGAGAUAGCUGGUUCUCCCCGAAAGCUAUUUAGGUAGCGCCUCGUGAAUUCAUCUCCGGGGGUAGAGCACUGUUUCGGCAAGGGGGUCAUCCCGACUUACCAACCCGAUGCAAACUGCGAAUACCGGAGAAUGUUAUCACGGGAGACACACGGCGGGUGCUAACGUCCGUCGUGAAGAGGGAAACAACCCAGACCGCCAGCUAAGGUCCCAAAGUCAUGGUUAAGUGGGAAACGAUGUGGGAAGGCCCAGACAGCCAGGAUGUUGGCUUAGAAGCAGCCAUCAUUUAAAGAAAGCGUAAUAGCUCACUGGUCGAGUCGGCCUGCGCGGAAGAUGUAACGGGGCUAAACCAUGCACCGAAGCUGCGGCAGCGACGCUUAUGCGUUGUUGGGUAGGGGAGCGUUCUGUAAGCCUGUGAAGGUGUACUGUGAGG